rnacentral:rRNA from 3 species
UACGUAGGUGGCAAGCGUUGUCCGGAAUUAUUGGGCGUAAAGCGCGCGCAGGCGGCUUCUUAAGUCUGAUGUGAAAUCUUGCGGCUCAACCGCAAACGGUCAUUGGAAACUGGGAAGCUUGAGUGCAGAAGAGGAGAGUAGAAUUCCACGUGUAGCGGUGAAAUGCGUAGAUAUGUGGAGGAAUACCAGUGGCGAAGGCGGCUCUCUGGUCUGUAACUGACGCUGAGGCGCGAAAGCGUGGGGAGCAAACAGG